GUGCCCUUGGGGACGAUGGUCAAAGGAAAUGAGUGGCCUAGGUUUCCAACGAGCCUGGUCAGCAACCGAAGCCGAAGCCUGAAGAACAACUGACUGAAGCAGGCGAUCUGAUCCUCACAGGCCCAAUUGCCUGGCGCCCUGGAGGACCCUGCCCCCAAGAUACAACGAUUCACGGACAGGCUUCGGAGCACCUCUUCCAAGUUCCCAGGAUGCCCGCCCAAGAUGAACAGGCCUUUGGAAUUUACAGCGGCAGCUCUGACAGCUGUUUUGUAUUUAUUUCCACGGUUGGGCCAUUUCAAUUUGGGACUCUUAUUCAUUAUAUUAGCAAAUAUUUGUUAAAGGAUCAA
rnacentral:lncRNA from 1 species